rnacentral:rRNA from 1 species
AACGUAGGUGGCAAGCGUUAUCCGGAUUCACUGGGCGUAAAGCGCAUGCAGGUGGCACAGUAAGUAGGGCAUGAAAACUCCUGGCUUAACUGGGAGAGGCUGUCCUAGACUGCUGAGCUUGAGGAUGGGAGAGGGAAGUGGAAUUGCCGGUGUAGUGGUGAAAUGCGUAGAUAUUGGGAGGAACACCAGUGGCGAAGGCGACUACCUGGCCUGUUCUUGACGCUGAGGCGCGAAAGCUAGGGGAGCAAACGGG